rnacentral:rRNA from 1 species
UACGGAGGGAGCUAGCGUUGUUCGGAAUUACUGGGCGUAAAGCGCACGUAGGCGGCUUUGUAAGUUAGAGGUGAAAGCCCGGGGCUCAACUCCGGAACUGCCUUUAAGACUGCAUCGCUUGAAUCCAGGAGAGGUGAGUGGAAUUCCGAGUGUAGAGGUGAAAUUCGUAGAUAUUCGGAAGAACACCAGUGGCGAAGGCGGCUCACUGGCCCGGUACUGACGCUGAGGCGCGAAAGCGUGGGGAGCAAACAGG